AACCUGGUUGAUCUUGCCAGUAGUCAUAUGCUUGUCUCAAAGAUUAAGCCAUGCAAGUGAAAGUAUAUGCAUAUUUUAUAUGUAGAAACUGCGAACGGCUCAUUAAAACAGUUAUAAUCUACUUGACAUUUUCUAUAUAAGGAUAACUACGGAAAAGCUGUAGCUAAUACUUGCUUUAGCACUCUUGAUUUAUUUCUUGAGUGUGUACUUGUUAAGCCUUAUAAGAAAGAAGUUAUUAACUUAAGGAAUUAUAACAAAGAAGUAACACGUAAUGGAUUCACUCCAUUUUUUAGUGUGUAUCAAUCGAGUUUCUGACCUAUCAGCUUUUGAUGUUAGGGUAUUGGCCUAACAUGGCUAUGACGGGUAACGGGGAAUUAGAGUUCGAUUCCGGAGAGGGAGCCUGAGAAAUAGCUACCACAUCUAAGGAAGGCAGCAGGCGCGUAAAUUACCCAAUUCUAAAGAAGAGAGGUAGUGACAAGAAAUAACAAUACAAGGCCAAUCUGGCUUUGUAAUUGGAAUGAUGGGAAUUUAAAACCUUCCCAAAAUUCAAUUGGAGGGCAAGUCUGGUGCCAGCAGCCGCGGUAAUUCCAGCUCCAAUAGCGUAUAUUAAAAUUGUUGCAGUUAAAACGCUCGUAGUUGAAUUUCAAAGAAUCGAUAUUUUAAGUAACGCUUUUAGCUUAAUCCACAUAACUGAUAUAUACUACUACGUGUAUCGACUUUGUGAGCAUUUAGCUAUUAUGUGUUCUUUUAAUUAAAAUGAUUCUUUUUAAGAUCUUUCUUUGGCUGCGGCUAUUGAAGAUCUUGUUACUUUGAGUAAAUUAGAGUGUUCAAAGCAAACAGAUAUAACCUUUUGUGUGUUUGAAUACUACAGCAUGGAAUAACAAAAUUGAACAAGUCAGAAUUUUUUGUUCUUUUUUCUUAUUUUGGCUUAGUUACGAUUAAUAGGAGUAGCUUGGGGGCAUUUGUAUUCAGAUGUCAGAGGUGAAAUUCUUAGAUUUUCUGGAGACAAACAACUGCGAAAGCAUUUGCCUAAAAUACUUCCAUUAAUCAAGAACGAAAGUUAAGGGAGUGAAGACGAUCAGAUACCGUCGUAAUCUUAACCAUAAACUAUGCCGACUAGGCUUUGGAUGAAAGAUUUAAAAAUAAGAGGUUUUUCUCUUCGGAGAAAGAACUCUUAGAUUGCUUCCUUCAGUGCCUUAUGAGAAAUCAAAGUCUUUGGGUUCUGGGGCGAGUAUUCGCGCAAGCGAGAAAGUUAAAAGAAUUGACGGAAGGGCACCACCAGGCGUGGAGCUUGCGGCUUAAUUUGACUCAACACGGGGAAACUCACUAGUUUAAGACAAGAGUAGGAUUGACAGAUUAAUAGCUCUUUCUUGAUUUCUUGGAUGGUGAUGCAUGGCCGUUUUUAGUUCGUGAAUAUGA
rfam:Plasmodium fragile strain nilgiri unplaced genomic scaffold supercont1.24, whole genome shotgun sequence.